CUUGAACGGUUCUGGUGCUGGGAAAUAGAAUCUGGAAAUGAACUAAAAGCAACAUCGAGUUCUUCUUCAUUUGUGAGUAGACCAGGUGGAUAACACUCUUCAAUAAGGACCUUGUUCAAGAUCAAAUCUAAUGAUACAAAAAGUAACCACCCAUUGCUGCAAAGCUUCUGGAUCAGGUCUUAAAUUAUGCUCUGGCUUAACAGAAAAUGAAGGAGAUCG
rnacentral:misc_RNA from 1 species